rnacentral:rRNA from 1 species
CAGUCGCCACGGUAAUACGUAGGUGGCAAGCGUUGUCCGGAAUUAUUGGGCGUAAAGGGCUCGCAGGCGGUUUCUUAAGUCUGAUGUGAAAGCCCCCGGCUCAACCGGGGAGGGUCAUUGGAAACUGGGAAACUUGAGUGCAGAAGAGGAGAGUGGAAUUCCACGUGUAGCGGUGAAAUGCGUAGAGAUGUGGAGGUACACCAGUGGCGAAGGCGACUCUCUGGUCUGUAACUGACGCUGAGGAGCGAAAGCGUGGGGAGCGAACAGGAUUAGAUACCCCCGUAGUCCCUGUCUCUUAUAC